AACGCGAAUGAACCUUACCUGGGCUCGAACGGCUUCUCAACGCCGGUAGAAAUACCGGUACCCCGCAAGGGGGUGGAGUCGAGGUGCUGCAUGGCUGUCGUCAGCUCGUGUCGUGAGAUGUUGGGUUAAGUCCCGCAACGAGCGCAACCCUUGUCCUGUGUUGCCAUCAUUCAGUUGGGAACUCGCAGGAGACCGCCAGCGAUAAGCUGGAGGAAGGUGGGGAUGACGUCAAGUCCUCAUGGCCUUUAUGUCCAGGGCUACACACGUGCUACAAUGGACGGUACAAACCGCAGCAAACCCGCGAGGGGGAGCCAAUCGGAAAAAACCGUUCUCAGUUCGGAUUGCAGGCUGCAACUCGCCUGCAUGAAGCUGGAAUCGCUAGUAAUGGCAGUAUCUAGCACGCUGCCGUGAAUACGUUCCCGGGUCUUGUACACACCG
rnacentral:rRNA from 1 species